UACGUAGGGGGCAAGCGUUGUCCGGAAUCAUUGGGCGUAAAGAGCGUGUAGGCGGUCCGGUAAGUCGGCUGUGAAAGUCCAGGGCUCAACCCUGGGAUGCCGGUCGAUACUGCCGGACUAGAGUUCGGAAGAGGCGAGUGGAAUUCCCGGUGUAGCGGUGAAAUGCGCAGAUAUCGGGAGGAACACCUAUGGCGAAGGCAGCUCGCUGGGACGUUACUGACACUGAGACGCGAAAGCGUGGGGAGCGAACAGG
rnacentral:rRNA from 1 species